rnacentral:sRNA from 1 species
GCUGGGCAUUGUGGCAGGCGCCUGUGGUCCCAGCUACUUGGGAGGCUGAGGCAGGAGACUCGAUUGAGCCCAGUAGUUGGAGGUUGCUGUGAGUUGUAAUGUCAUAGCACUCUACCCAGGGGGACAGCCUGAGGCUCUGUCUCAAAAAAAAGGACAAGUGUCUCAGUAUGUCACCCUUGGUAGAGUGCUGUGGCAUGACAGCUCACAUCAACCUCAAAAUCUUGGGCUUAAAUGAUUCUCCUGCC